UACGUAGGGUGCAAGCGUUUGUCCGGAAUUAUUGGGCGUAAAGAGCGUGUAGGCGGCCCGAUUAGUCCGCUGUGAAAGUCCAGGGCUCAACCCUGGAAUGCCGGUGGAUACUGUCGGGCUAGAGUCCGGAAGGGGCGAGUGGAAUUCCUGGUGUAGCGGUGAAAUGCGCAGAUAUCAGGAGGAACACCAAAGGCGAAGGCAGCUCGCUGGGACGGUACUGACGCUGAGGUGCGAAAGCGUGGGGAGCGAACAGG
rnacentral:rRNA from 1 species